rnacentral:misc_RNA from 1 species
CAUGGAAUUGAUGAGUCAUAACAUAACAAGAAAGUUUUCUGACUCCCACUGACUGUAGAUAGAACUUGCAGUUUUCGGCUUUUUCUUACUUCCAGUAAUAUGCCCCUGCAGUCCUCUAGCUUGAAUAAACAACAGACAUGAUCUAGAUAAUGCCAAAAAAUUAGUUCCAUUCAAUUUUACGGGAUUAAUCUGUAAAGAGGGGUUAUCAUUGAUAAAAGUCGCCUUUGUUUUUGAGAUUUUCUGUUUUCCAUCAACCAUUUAAAUAAAAAUGAAGACAGAUACUAUGUUUGAAGAGAAACCCAAAAAAUAAAAGUGCAAACCAGUUGAGGGAAACAGGCGGAUCAGCGGCGCAAAAAGCAAGGAAGACGGCGGCAAGAAGAAACGGUUGGAAAAUCUGGCAGGAAAUGGCUUCACGUGCCGGUGGGUGUGAUUGGGGCGCACCCUUCUGACGGCGCGUGAGGCCACACGCUUUACCGGAUGACGGUGAUACUUAGGGCGAACGCCGGUGACCUAGGGUCCUUCCUCCUUGGGUGGGCGGUGACACUCACCUCCGACUUGUUUUUAAGUUUACCCACACAAGCCUUAACUUUUCUGGUACUGUUCAUGCCAAGAAAAGUUGGCAUAGCUCUGAUACCAUGUUGAAAUCAG